CAGCCGCCGCGGUAAUACGUAGGGUGCAAGCGUUAAUCGGAAUUACUGGGCGUAAAGCGUGCGCAGGCGGUGAUGUAAGACAGUUGUGAAAUCCCCGGGCUCAACCUGGGAACUGCAUCUGUGACAGCAUCGCUGGAGUGCGGCAGAGGGGGAUGGAAUUCCGCGUGUAGCAGUGAAAUGCGUAGAUAUGCGGAGGAACACCGAUGGCGAAGGCAAUCCCCUGGGCCUGCACUGACGCUCAUGCACGAAAGCGUGGGGAGCAAACAGGAUUAGAUACCCCCGUAGUCCCUGUCUCUUAUAC
rnacentral:rRNA from 1 species